rnacentral:lncRNA from 1 species
UUACUCUACAUAAUUGUUGCUAUCCUAGGACUUAAUAAGUGACCAGAGUGGGAGAAAAUUCACAGAGAAUUCUUUGCCUCCAGGUAUUGCAUUCUGGGAUUAAAGGGGACACCUACCAAGCCCAGUUCAGUAUCAUUCAUAAUGACUACCUGGUCCUUGAAUGAAAACACUCAUGAGAAGAGGCCACAAGAUGACAACGAAGAAAACAAACACCCUGCUCCUCAUUCAAAGAGGAAUAAGAAGGACCAGGCCUUCCAGGAUACUUGCACAGUUGAGAUAUCAGCUGUUCUGAAGUAAGACUUGAGCAGACACUCCCACCAAGCAGUAAGAAAGCUGUGUUACUCAGAUUUCCACUAAUCUCUCUAUGGAUUUUUCAAGAUCCAGUGGGUAGCUUCUCUCCCACUAAGAAUCAAAGUUGCCCUGUUGGUAUGUGUAUCCUUUUUUUUUAGCAAAGGAGCUGAGUAGUGGCUUAAGCUUGUGCUCCCUGGUCUGCAUUAAACCAACAUUCU